UAAAAGAGGGUGUCAGACGCCAGUCUACAUCUUGGUAGAGAUUCAUCUCAUACUUGCUGGUGUAUGUUGCAUCAUUGGCUUCUAUUCUGAACAUCUACAUGUGAUUUUAUUCUGUUUGACAUCCAUCGGCAAGCUUCGUUGAUUUAAGAAAGUCAGAGACCUACAAGAUCAACAAGAGAAUGGGUGGAGAUUCGUCAAAAGAUCGAGCGGAUAAGGCAGAGCGAGACCGCGAUCAAGCCAAAACUGAUAAACAGAAAGCGGAGGAGGACAAACAGAAAGCGGAGAAGGACAAACAGAAAGCGGAGGAGGACAAACAGAACAUGGAGAAGGAAAAACAGAACAUGGAGAAGGAAAAGAAAAAGACAGAAGAGGAUUACAGGGAGCUCCUUGUUAAGAACGCGAGAAUGGAAACAGAACAAAAUAUGGAAGAAAAACGAAGACAGGAGCUUGAGAAGCAAAGACUACAAUUAAUGGAACACAAUAGACAGCGAGAGAAAGAUGAAAGGACAAGAAUUCAGCUAGAAAAUGCAAAAGGAGAUCAGAAAACCGUUUAAAAUGUAUCCAAAUAUGAAGUGACAAGGGCAUAAACUGUUUAAAUGAUCCACAUAAUGAAUUACUGACCAAAGCACACAAUCAUUGUAAACCUUUAAUAUCCACAAUUGCGCUGCCUGUUUUUAUUUCCCCCAAAUUAUGUGCUUAAAGGGAUAGUUCACACAAAUGACACAGUGGUUUAAUAACCCUGUUAACCGUUUUUGUUUACCUGGCUGCUGUCGCCAAAUGCUUUUCAAACCAAUGCCUGUCAAUAUCUGAGAAUCCUCUGUAGCUUUGCAAUAAAUAGAUUCUAUUGA